rnacentral:rRNA from 1 species
UACGUAGGGCGCAAGCGUUGUUCGGAAUUAUUGGGCGUAAAGCGCGUGUAGGCGGCUUUGCAAGUCGGGUGUGAAAGCCCUCAGCUCAACUGAGGAAGUGCGCCCGAAACUGCUUAGCUUGAGUAUCGGAGAGGAUGGCGGAAUUCCCCAAGUAGAGGUGAAAUUCGUAGAUAUGGGGAGGAACACCGGUGGCGAAGGCGGCGUCCUGGACCAACACUGACACUGAGGGGCGAAAGCCAGGGGAGCAAACGGG